UACAGAGGUCCCAAGCGUUGUUCGGAUUCACUGGGCGUAAAGGGUGCGUAGGUUGCCGGAAUAGUCUGAUGUGAAAGCUCCGAGCCUAACUCGGAAAUUGCAUUGGAUACUUUUCGGCUAGAGGGUUGGAGGGGAGACUAGAAUUCUCGGUGUAGCAGUGAAAUGCGUAGAUAUCGAGAGGAAUACCAGUGGCGAAGGCGAGUCUCUGGAAAACACCUGACACUGAGGCACGAAAGCUAGGGGAUCAAACAGG
rnacentral:rRNA from 1 species